rnacentral:tRNA from 1 species
GACUCCAUGGCCUAAUGGAUAAGGUGUUGGUCUACGAAACCAGAGAUUCUGAGUUCGAUCUCUAGUGGAGUCG